rnacentral:rRNA from 1 species
UACGGGGGGGGCAAGCGUUGUUCGGAAUUACUGGGCGUAAAGGGCUCGUAGGCGGCCAACUAAGUCGGAUGUGAAAUCCCCAGGCUUAACCUGGGACCUGCAUCCGAUACUGGAUGGCUUGAAUUCGGGAGAGGGAUGCAGAAUUCCAGGUGUAGCGGUGAAAUGCGUAGAUAUCUGGAGGAAUACCGGUGGCGAAGGCGGCAUCCUGGACCGAGAUUGACGCUGAUGAGCGAAAGCUAGGGGAGCAAACGGG